CGGUGGAGUGAUUUGUCUGGUUAAUUCCGUUAACGCACGAGACCUUGACAUGCUAACUAGCGUCACACUGCUGCUGCUGUUGUGUGGCAGACUUCUUACGGGGACUUUGUGUGCCCAGCAUGAGGAAGCGUGAGGCAGUGACA
rnacentral:rRNA from 1 species